rnacentral:rRNA from 1 species
UACGUAGGGGGCAAGCGUUGUCCGGAAUCAUUGGGCGUAAAGAGCUCGUAGGUGGUUUGUCGCGUUGUCCGUGAAAACUCACAACUCAAUUGUGGGCGUGCGGGCGAUACGGGCAGACUGGAGUACUGCAGGGGAGACUGGAAUUCCUGGUGUAGCGGUGGAAUGCGCAGAUAUCAGGAGGAACACCGGUGGCGAAGGCGGGUCUCUGGGCAGUAACUGACGCUGAGGAGCGAAAGCGUGGGGAGCGAACAGG